CUCUUCUUGAAUAUAUUUUGAUGUAUGGCCUGCCCACUGAAUAUUGAAGGGCCGCGGUAUUUUGACCGUGCAAAGGUAGCAUAAUCAUUAGUCUUUUAAUUGUAGGCUGGAAUGAAUGGUUUGACGAGGUGUUAACUGUCUUUAAUUUUUUUUUGAACUUAAAUUUUAGGUUAAAAUGCCUAAAUGUUUUUUUGGGACGAGAAGACCCUAUAGAGUUUUAUAUAUUUUUAUUUUUUUUGUAUGAGAAUUUCUAAUGUAAAAAUUUAUUUUGUUGGGGUGAUGGAAAGAUUUAAUUAACUCUUUUUAUUUAUUUUAUAUUUAUUUAUAUGUAUUUGAUCCAUUUAUAUUGAUUAUAAGACUAAAUUACC
rnacentral:rRNA from 1 species